UAACCAAUGUGUGACUGGCGUAAACAUGGAUAACCAUGAGGAAGCACAUUGCAAACAGCCGUACGCCUGGGCAAAGUAU
rnacentral:ncRNA from 2 species